rnacentral:rRNA from 1 species
CCUACGGGUGGCAGCAGUGGGGAAUAUUGCUCAAUGGGGGAAACCCUGAUGCAGCGACGCCGCGUGCGGGAAGACGUAUUUCGUAAUGUAAAGCUCUAUUAGCAGGGAAGAAAAUGACGGUACCUGACUAAGAAGCACCGGCUAACUACGUGCCAGCAGCCGCGGUAAUACGGAGGGUGCAAGCGUUAUCCGGAUUUACUGGGUGUAAAGGGAGCGUAGACGGGAGGGCAAGUCUGUAGUGAAAGGCUGGGGCUCAACCACAGAACUGCAUUGGAAACUGUACGGCUGGAGUGUAGGAGAGGUAAGUGGAAUUCCUGGUGUAGCGGUGAAAUGCGUAGAGAUUAGGAGGAACACCAGUGGCGAAGGCGGCUUACUGGACUGUAACUGACGUUGAGGCACGAAAGCGUGGGGAGCAAACAGGAUUAGAUACCCCAGUAGUC